GACGAACGCUGGCGGCGUGCUUAACACAUGCAAGUCGAACGGAAAGGCCCUGCUUUUGUGGGGUGCUCGAGUGGCGAACGGGUGAGUAACACGUGAGUAACCUGCCCUUGACUUUGGGAUAACUUCAGGAAACUGGGGCUAAUACCGGAUAGGAGCUCCUGCUGCAUGGUGGGGGUUGGAAAGUUUCGGCGGUUGGGGAUGGACUCGCGGCUUAUCAGCUUGUUGGUGGGGUAGUGACUUACCAAGGCUUUGACGGGUAGCCGGCCUGAGAGGGUGACCGGCCACAUGGGGACUGAGAUAGGGACCAGACUCCUACGGGAGGCAGCAGUGGGGAAUAUUGCACAAUGGGCGGAAGCCUGAUGCAGCAACGCCGGGUGCGGGAUGACGGCCUUCGGGUUGUAAACCGCUUUCGCCUGUGACGAAGCGUGAGUGACGGUAAUGGGUAAAGAAGCACCGGCUAACUACGUG
rnacentral:rRNA from 1 species